AUUGAACGCUGGCGGCAUGCUUUACACAUGCAAGUCGAACGGUAACAGGGAGCUUGCUCCGCUGACGAGUGGCGAACGGGUGAGUAAUGCGUCGGAACGUGCCGAGUAGUGGGGGAUAACGCAUCGAAAGGUGUGCUAAUACCGCAUACGUACUGAGGUAGAAAGUGGGGGACCUUAGGGCCUCACGCUAUUCGAGCGGCCGACGUCUGAUUAGCUAGUUGGUGAGGUAAAGGCUAACCAAGGGGACGGUCAGUAGCGGGUCUGAGAGGAUGAUCCGCCACACUGGGACUGAGACACGGCCCAGACUCCUACGGGAGGCAGCAGUGGGGAAUUUUGGACAAUGGGCGCAAGCCUGAUCCAGCCAUGCCGCGUGUCUGAAGAAGGCCUUCGGGUUGUAAAGGACUUUUGUCCGGGAGCAAAUGCCUGGUGUUAAUAGCAUCGGGAGCUGAGAGUACCGGAAGAAUAAGCACCGGCUAACUACGUGCCAGCAGCCGCCGUAACAC
rnacentral:rRNA from 1 species